rnacentral:rRNA from 1 species
UACGUAGGGACCAAGCGUUGUUCGGAUUUACUGGGCGUAAAGGGCGCGUAGGCGGCCUGCUAAGUCGAACGUGAAAUCCCCGGGCUCAACCCGGGAACUGCGUCCGAUACUGGUUGGCUUGAAUCCGGGAGAGGGAUGCGGAAUUCCAGGUGUAGCGGUGAAAUGCGUAGAUAUCUGGAGGAACACCGGUGGCGAAGGCGGCAUCCUGGACCAUUACUGACACUGAAAAGCGAAAGCCAGGGGAGCAAACGGG